GAUGAACGCUGGCGGCGUGCCUAAUACAUGCAAGUCGAGCGAACAGACGAGGAGCUUGCUCCUCUGACGUUAGCGGCGGACGGGUGAGUAACACGUGGAUAACCUACCUAUAAGACUGGGAUAACUUCGGGAAACCGGAGCUAAUACCGGAUAAUAUAUUGAACCGCAUGGUUCAAUAGUGAAAGACGGUUUUGCUGUCACUUAUAGAUGGAUCCGCGCCGCAUUAGCUAGUUGGUAAGGUAACGGCUUACCAAGGCAACGAUGCGUAGCCGACCUGAGAGGGUGAUCGGCCACACUGGAACUGAGCCACGGUCCAGACUCCUACGGGAGGCAGCAGUAGGGAAUCUUCCGCAAUGGGCGAAAGCCUGACGGAGCAACGCCGCGUGAGUGAUGAAGGUCUGCGGAUCGUAAAACUCUGUUAUUAGGGAAGAACAAAUGUGUAAGUAACUAUGCACGUCUUGACGGUACCUAAUCAGAAAGCCACGGCUAACUACGU
rnacentral:rRNA from 1 species